CCAGCUGUCCAUCUUCCUGCUAUUUUCUUUGGCAAUGCUGCUGAGCAAGAAAACUUGUCUACAGACUGGGAAUUCCUAAGACUCUCAUAUAUAGGGAACUCCUACAAAUUAGUAAGAAAAAAAUCAGACACCCCAGUAGAAAAAUGGACAAAUCUCCAUGUGAGGACACAAAGAAAGCACCAUCUAUGAGAAACAGGCCCUCUCCAGACACCAAAUCUGCCGGCACCUUGAUCUUAGACUUUCUAGCCUCCAGAACUGAUGAAGGGCAAAGAAAAAAAGGAAACAAAAAGAAAAGAAAGAAAGAAUUUGAUUAAAGCAGAAAGAAAGAAUUUGAUUAAAGCAGGAAGAAAGAAUAACAAGAAAAAACCAUGGCAAAUCAAGUUCCUCAAGUCUGUUCUAUCCAUUCAUCUGCUCUCUACAAGAGGAGAUCCUGUUGUUCAUGGCCUGUUCACCAAAGCCCACCCUGCUUCUCCUCUGUGUACCCACGGCAUGUUACUUAAUGCUUACUUUUAUUCUGCUGUGCAUUAUAUUAGUUACUUAAAUGUCUGUGUCCCUGACUAGAACUGGAUUUCCUUGAGUACUGAGUCAGACUGCCACUGAGUCACACUGAAUACAAAUCUAGUCAUUUCUCGAAUUAAAACUCUCUAUAGUCUCCUAAAAUGCGGAGGGAUGUAUACUCCUUGAACAGUCCCUUGUACAAUGAUUUCAUAAAGUAGGAUCUCAAUACAAUGUGUUGAAUUAAAUUUGCUUGUGAGAUCAUUCAGUGUAAACCAUAUGAAAUGUUCAUUUCCUCAGGUCAAAAACUGGC
rnacentral:lncRNA from 10 species